rnacentral:rRNA from 1 species
GCGGUCUCUCGGGCCGUCCGAGUUGUAAUCUAGAGAAGCGUUUUCCGCGCUGGACCGUGUACAAGUCUCCUGGAAGGGAGCGUCAUAGAGGGUGAGAAUCCCGUCUUUGACACGGACUAACCAGUGCUUAUGUGAUGCGCUCUUGACGAGUCGAGUUGUUUGGGAAUGCAGCUCAAAUUGGGUGGUAAAUUCCAUUUAAAGCUAAAUAUAGGCGAGAGACCGAUAGCGAACAAGUACCGUGAGGGAAAGAUGAAAAGAACUUUGGAAAGAGAGUUAAACCGUACGUGAAAUUGCUGAAAGGGAAACGCUUGAUGUCAGUCGCGUCGGCCGGGGAUCAACCUUGGUAAUUACCCUGGUGUAUUUCCUGGUCCGACGGGUCAGCAUCAGUUUUGAUUGCCGUACAAGGGCCAAGGGAACGUGGCACUUUUCGGGGUGUGUUAUAGCCUUUGGUCGCAUGCGGUGAUCGGGACUGAGGAACUCAGCCCGACCCUUUCAAGGGUUCGGGGCUUUUUUUAGCCUACGUUACCGUGCUUAGGAUGCUGGCAUAAUGGCCUUAAGCGACCCGUCUUGAAACACGGACCAAGGAGUCUAACAUGCCUGCAAGUGUUUGGGUGGUAAAACCCGAGCGCGUAAUGAAAGUGAAAGUCGAGACCUCUGUCAUGGAGGGCAUCGACGCCCGGACCUGAGUCUAUGACGACGGAUCUGCGGUAGAGCAUGUAUGUUGGGACCCGAAAGAUGGUGAACUAUGCCUGAAUAGGGUGAAGCCAGAGGAAACUCUGGUGGAGGCUCGUAGCGAUUCUGACGUGCAAAUCGAUCGUCGAAUUUGGGUAUAGGG